rnacentral:pre_miRNA from 2 species
GGGGUUCCUGGGGAUGGGAUUUGCUUCCUGUCACAAAUCACAUUGCCAGGGAUUUCCAA